UACGUAGGGGGCAAGCGUUGUCCGGAAUCAUUGGGCGUAAAGAGCGUGUAGGCGGCCUGAUAAGUCGGCUGUGAAAGUCAAGGGCUCAACCCUUGAAUGCCGGCCGAUACUGUCAGGCUAGAGUCCGGAAGAGGCGAGUGGAAUUCCUGGUGUAGCGGUGAAAUGCGCAGAUAUCAGGAGGAACACCUAUGACGAAGGCAGCUCGCUGGGACGGUACUGACGCUGAGACGCGAAAGCGUGGGGAGCGAACAGG
rnacentral:rRNA from 1 species